UUCGCUAGUGAAAUCAACAUGCCAUUCGAGGUUGAAAUUUUAGGCCUUGAAUCUUUAACUUCUGGUUCUUGGUCAUUGCCUCGUCGUGUAUCAGAGACAGAAGUAAUUGCUGUGAAUCUUCCGAUUGGGCCCUUUUCAAAUUACCCGUCAUCUCUUCCAGUGGCUCUUCGCUUUGUGAAGCAGCUCUCACCUAAAGUUGUGGUCUCUUCGGACAAGGGCUGCGACCGAACUGACCUGCCUUUCGCCCACCAUGUAAAUCAUUCUAUUCAAUCUUAUUCCAGCCUGCUUGAAUCUUUGGAAGCUGUGAAUAUGAACCUAGAUGCGCUGCAAAAGAUUGAGAGAUUCUUGGUCCAACCAGGUAUUGAAAAAACUGUAUUGGGUCGUCAUCGCCACCCUGAUA
rnacentral:misc_RNA from 1 species